UCUAUGAAUCGUUGAACAAAAUCAUACAUGAAAAGUUCAAUGUGACUUUUAAUUGCUGAAUUUAAAAAAAGAAAACACAAUUUUACUAUUUUUGCAAGAAAGAUAAAUCACAUAAGACUUACCUAUACAAAUAAUUCAACCAUAAAUUUACCUUUUUGCAAGUUUUCUUCUUUGGAAGCAGCAGAUAUGUAAAAUCAUUACACAUUAUGUUCAUGCUGUAUGUACAUAAAAUGGACUAGAGACCCCAAAAGUAAAUUCUUUGGAGAUUUGGUUCCAAAGGGGGAAAACAAACUCUCUUUGUCUGAACAGGUGAAAGGUACCAAAAAAGAGUGAAAACCAGUUUUCCCCUUUUUUUGUUUUUUUAUUUUAUUUCUUUUGUUUUUGUAGGAGAACCAGCAGUGGAAGAAAAGAUCACUUUCUUUGUAGACACUUUAUAGGGUUUCGGAUUCUGUAAACUCUGGCACGUAACUCGACCUCAAAGUUAAUGAAAUCCUGAUAGACUUUCCCUGCCCUCCUUCCUGCUUCCAUCCUUCAGAUUAUCUCACCUUUUAAAAACUCAGUUUCUAUUUGUAUACAUGUGAUCUUCAUGUCAUUGGCUUUUUAUGCGGGCACUUUUCACCUACAUCCUUUCCUUCCCUCAUCUGGCAGCCAGUUGGGCUUCUUCCUGCCUUGAAUACCACAUUCCCUAGUUUUUCAAGCUCAGUCAUUAGCACCCUGUCCCCCUACUAAAAUUAUGAAUGAAAAGCCUUGUUGUUCUUUACAAAUAACUCAGGCUGCCUCAGUCAGUCAAAUUCGAAUGGAAGUGACUGCCAGACAAAGGGCCAGGAUGAUGGACAGUGCUCACAGCAAGUCAUCAAUGCCCACAGGAAGUUUUUUAAGCCACAAUAUAGGUAGAGAGGCUUGGGCGUUCCCGGAGGACAAGCUUACAGAAGGAGGCUGGGAGGUGGGGGGAGGGAGACUUUCUGUGUCUGUUGGGAACUUAGAAAAAACUUCCAUGAAGCUCAGAGAUAACAAUGUACAGAGUCAUUUUUGCCCUAGCAAGAACUUAAAAUUCCGGCCAUGGAGACAUCUACACCUUGCAGUAAUUCUGGUUUGCACCGACACACACAGACAAAAGUGAAGGCACCAACCAUUUACUUGGUUUUGAAUGCUGAACGAUGCAAGAGUGGGUUACAUUCUUGGAGCUGCACAACUCCCUGCUGAGAAGUUGCAUUGUCUUGGGCCCCUCUUUCACAACAGGGGAAAAGGUAAUUGACAGCCCGAUUGUUUGGCUGGGACCCCUGCUGUUAUAAAAUCCUAGAAGGCCCCAGUCACACGUUGUCAAUAAUAGCCGUCGGAGGUGAGGAGUGAAGAAGGGCUGUUCAGGAAACAGUUUGAGCCCUUCAAGUGGACAGGCCUCAGUGACUUCUGCACUCUGGCUGCCACAAGCAGCUCAUUCAAAAAUAACCUUAAAGUAAUAAAUCAAACUUGUUUCCUGAACUAUACAAGGAACAGCUGGUUAUUUUUCCUCACUUUUUUUUUUUUUUUCAAAAGCCAAAAAAAAAAAAAAAAAAGAGGGAGAUUUUACUACAGGAAACCAAGCAUGUCAAAAUUUGGCAAAGCAAUUUGGAUGAUUUAACAGUUAAACACUUCUCUUUUUAAUGUUAUGCUUUCAUCAGUCUUUUUUAUUUAAGCUUUUCAGUUUUGCAUUCUGUUUGCCGCAAUUAGUGUCCCUUAUCUGUUCACCCCCUACUUUUGAAAGGAAAAUGAGUCUAGGAUCCUGUCUUUAGAGUAUUUUGCUGUGUAAUUUCUAAUGUACUGGUCAAGUAGCUCAACUUAUUUUACAGGCAAAAUUUGUUUUCUUCCACAGAGUUGAGCUUGGAUUUAGAUCUACAGCUCCACGUAUUUGUUUCUCCUGAGACCCAUAUAUUUUGGAGUUCUGACGACAAGGCAGUUUUUCUUCAGUCUAUUGAUUUAGGAACCCUGACCUAGGAGUGCAUAUGCUGUAACUGAAGUAGUCUGGUGUCUUAACAUUUUCAGCUUCAAACAUGUGUUACGUGACUAGAUGGAAUUCCUUGAGAACUGUAUUAACAUGUUUCAAAGAGUUGAAUUAACAGCAGAUAAAAUGACCUUUUUCUGCUUUGGAGAGAUGGGAUGGAUACUGCAGUUGAUUAAUUACUCCCUACUCCCAGAAAUACUUCUCUUUAGAACCCUGUAAGUAGGGCCUUUCCCUUCUACCCUUGUAAGUUUUUUCUCAUUAUUUCCUUUUGCGUCCUGUCUCUUCCCUCUGCAAUAUUUCCUUCCUUUCUGUGUGGGAAACGAUAGCCCCAUGCUAUGGGAUCAGGGUACGUAGAAGUUGGUAAAGAUGAAGUAUACUUCUAAAAGGCUGUGUUCUGAAAGUGCAUCUGCAGAGACGUGGAGGAAAAUAAGGAGAGCAUGCUGAGUGACAGGAAUGGAUGGGGAUACACAGUAAAGGCCAUGGAAGCCUCGGCGAAUUUAUUGGCUUCAGAAAUGUAAAUCCACAAAAACAGCUACCACCUGGCUAGAUGGGUCUCUGGGUCCUGGGCUC